UACGUAGGGUGCGAGCGUUAAUCGGAAUUACUGGGCGUAAAGCGUGCGUAGGCGGUUCCUCAAGUCCGUUGUGAAAGCCCCGGGCUCAACCUGGGAAUGGCAGUGGAAACUAGGGGACUGGAAUCUGGCAGAGGGGGGUGGAAUACCGCGUGUAGCAGUGAAAUGCGUAGAGAUGCGGCGGAACACCGAUGGCGAAGGCAGCCCCCUGGGCUGAGAUUGACGCUCAGGCACGAAAGCGUGGGGAGCAAACAGG
rnacentral:rRNA from 1 species